rnacentral:rRNA from 1 species
UUAUAGGAUCAAGCGACUAAGUGCAUCUGGUGGAUGCCUUGGCGAUCACAGGCGAUGAAGGACGUGCAAGCCUGCGAAAAGCGUGGGGGAGUUGGCAAUGGAGCAUUGAUCCCACGAUGUCCGAAUGGGGAAACCCGGCCCUUAGGGGUCACCCUGUACUGAAUACAUAGGUACAGAGGAGCGAACCCGGCGAACUGAAACAUCUAAGUAGCCGGAGGAAAAGAAAUCAACCGAGAUUCCGCAAGUAGUGGCGAGCGAACGCGGAAGAGCCUGUACGUGAUAGCGGGAGUGUUAGAAGAAUGGUCUGGAAAGGCCAGCGAUAAUGGGUGAUAGCCCCGUAUUCGAAAACACACUCGUGGUACUAAGCGUACGAAAAGUAGGGCGGGACACGUGAAAUCCUGUUUGAAGAUGGGGGGACCAUCCUCCAAGGCUAAAUACUCGUGAUCGACCGAUAGUGAACCAGUACCGUGAGGGAAAGGCGAAAAGAACCCCGGGAGGGGAGUGAAAUAGAACCUGAAACCGGAUGCAUACAAACAGUGGGAGCCCCUUCGUGGGGUGACUGCGUACCUUUUGUAUAAUGGGUCAGCGACUUACAUUCAGUAGCGAGCUUAACCGGAUAGGGGAGGCGAAGCGAAAGCGAGUCCGAAUAGGGCGUUUAGUUGCUGGGUGUAGACCCGAAACCGGAUGAUCUAUCCAUGGCCAGGAUGAAGGUGCGGUAACACGCACUGGAGGUCCGAACCCACUAAUGUUGCAAAAUUAGGGGAUGAGCUGUGGAUAGGGGUGAAAGGCUAAACAAAUCCGGAAAUAGCUGGUUCUCUCCGAAAACUAUUUAGGUAGUGCCUCAGGUAUUACUGACGGGGGUAGAGCACUGUUAUGGCUAGGGGAUCAUUGCGAUUUACCAACCCAUGGCAAACUCCGAAUACCGUCAAGUAUGAGCCUGGGAGACAGACAGUGGGUGCUAACGUCCAUUGUCAAGAGGGAAACAACCCAGACCGCCAGCUAAGGUCCCAAAUGAUAUGCUAAGUGGUAAACGAGGUGGGAAGGCAUAGACAGCCAGGAUGUUGGCUUAGAAGCAGCCAUCAUUUAAAGAAAGCGUAAUAGCUCACUGGUCGAGUCGUCCUGCGCGGAAGAUGUAACGGGGCUCAAGCAUAUAACCGAAGCUGCGGAUAUGUACUUUAGUACAUAUGGUAGGAGAGCGUUCUGUAGGCCUGUGAAGGUGUCUUGAGAAGGAUGCUGGAGGUAUCAGAAGUGCGAAUGCUGACAUGAGUAGCGAUAAAGCGGGUGAAAUUCCCGCUCGCCGAAAACCCAAGGUUUCCUACGCAACGUUCAUCGGCGUAGGGUGAGUCGGCCCCUAAGGCGAGGCUGAAAAGCGUAGUCGAUGGGAAACGGGUUAAAAUUCCCGUACCAGUUGUGAAUGCGAUGGGGGGACGGAGAAGGGUAGCUCAGCCAACUGUUGGAAUAGUUGGUUCAAGCGUGUAGGCAGGAUCGUCAGGCAAAUCCGGCGAACCAAUGCUGAGGCGUGAUAACGAGGGUCUACGGACCUGAAGUGAGUAAUCCCAAGCUUCCAGGAAAAGCCUCUAAGCUUCAGUUCACAAUUGACCGUACCGCAAACCGACACAGGUGGGUAGGUAGAGAAUACCAAGGCGCUUGAGAGAACUCGGGUUAAGGAACUCGGCAAAUUGACACCGUAACUUCGGGAGAAGGUGUGCCCCUAUUAGGUGAACUCCCUGCGGAGGGAGCUGAAAGGGGUCGCAGAGAAUAGGUGGCUGCGACUGUUUAAUAAAAACACAGCUCUGUGCCAACACGAAAGUGGACGUAUACGGAGUGACGCCUGCCCGGUGCCGGAAGGUUAAGUGAUGGGGUGCAAGCUC